rnacentral:rRNA from 1 species
CAGCCGCGGUAAUUCCAGCUCCAAUAGCGUAUAUUAAAGUUGUUGCAGUUAAAAAGCUCGUAGUUGAAUUUCGGGACCAAUAUGUCGGUCGUACUUUGUACGUACUAGCAUCAUUGGUUUCUCCCUUCUGAAGAACCGCGAUGUCAUUAAUUUGGUGUCGUGGGGAAUCAGGACUGUUACUUUGAAAAAAUUAGAGUGUUUAAAGCAGGCUCGCGCUUGAAUACAUUAGCAUGGAAUAAUGAAAUAGGACGUUUGAUUCUAUUUUGUUGGUUUCUAGGAUCGACGUAAUGAUUAAUAGGGAUAGUUGGGGGCAUUAGUAUUCAAUUGUCAGAGGUGAAAUUCUUGGAUUUAUUGAAGACUAACUACUGCGAAAGCAUUUUGCCAAGGAUGUUUUCAUUAAUCAAGAACGAAAGUUAGGGAUCGAAGACGAUCAGAUACCGUCGUAGUCUUAACCUUAACCAUAAACUAUGCCGACUAGGGGAUCGGAUGAUGUUAAUUUUUAUAAUGACUCAUUCGGCGCCUUACGGGAAAC